GGACUACUCGGGUUUCUAAUCCUGUUUGAUCCCCACGCUGUCGUGCAUGAGCGUCAGUCGCGAGCUAGCCAGCUGCCUUCGCAAUAGGAGUUCUGCGCGAUAUCUAAGCAUUUCACCGCUACACCGCGCAUUCCGCCAGCCUCGCUCGGACUCAAGCUCGCCAGUAUCAACGGCACUGUCCCGGUUGAGCCGGAAAAUUUCACCGCUGACUUAGCAAGCCGCCUGCGCACCCUUUAAACCCAAUAAAUCCGGAUAACGCUCGCACCCUCCGUAUUACCGCGGCUGCUGGCAC
rnacentral:rRNA from 1 species